rnacentral:rRNA from 1 species
UACGUAGGGUGCAAGCGUUAAUCGGAAUUACUGGGCGUAAAGCGUGCGCAGGCGGUUAUGUAAGACAGUUGUGAAAUCCCCGGGCUCAACCUGGGAACUGCAUCUGUGACUGCAUAGCUAGAGUACGGUAGAGGGGGAUGGAAUUCCGCGUGUAGCAGUGAAAUGCGUAGAUAUGCGGAGGAACACCGAUGGCGAAGGCAAUCCCCUGG